AGAACCUGAACCUCAGUGAGUCCAGACACCAGAUGGAGAAGCUGAGGCUCAGGACACUGGCUAAAGGCUGCACAGCUGGUGCAGCCUGCUUGGUCUUCCUCACAGCAUGGUGGCUGGAUUCUAAGUGUGAGCAUCCCAAGAGAACCAAGGUAAGGAAUGGGCUCACAUGGCUAUGGAAGCUGAGAAGUUCCACCAUCUGCCAUCUGUUAGCUGGAGAACCAGGAAAGCUGGUGGUGUGAUUCAGUGCAGUCUGAAGGCCUGAGGAUAUUGAUGGGGCCCUUGAUAGAUCGAGCCGUGAUCGCCUGCCUUGGUGAAGGGUGAUCUUCCUGACUCGGGCUACCAAUUCAGACACUUCUGUCUUCUGGAAACAUCUUCACAGACAUGCGAGGAAGAAAUAAUGUUUCCCCAGCUUUGGGGUCCACCCUUAGUCCAGCCACGCUGAUAUGUAAAAGGAACCAUCGCAAGUCAACCUCUCUCAACCACACAGGUCCCCUGACAGCGCCCUUGCUCUUCAAUAAAGGCAGCAACAAAGUCAUCAUUCCAUGUCACAUGAUAGAACCGUGCUUCAGGCAAACAAAAAGGCACUGAUCCAGUCCCGGAAGCGGAGGUGAUGUCUCUGGGAGGUUUCCUCCUCUCCCACCAGCCUGCACCUUAAAUACCAGGAUGUGAAAUUAACAAUGUCAUUAUGUAAAUACUGACAUCGAGUCAGCGCAUUUUAUGUUACGUGAUGAGGGAAUAAGAGAGGAAAGAAAACCAAGAUAUUUGCCUAAUAUAUGUAUAAAUACACAAAUGUAUUCAUAGCAACUAAGGAGGAAAUAGUCACGACAAUUACAGCUCUUGAUGUUUUGCAACUGGUCACAUGGUCAUAGUCGGUAUUAAUUAAAUAUUUUAUUUUA